AACGAACGCUGGCGGCAUGCCUAACACAUGCCAGUCGAACGAUGCUUUCGGGCAUAGUGGCGCACGGGUGCGUAACGCGUGGGAAUCUGCCCUUGGGUUCGGAAUAACAGUGAGAAAUUGCUGCUAAUACCGGAUGAUGUCUUCGGACCAAAGAUUUAUCGCCCAGGGAUGAGCCCGCGUAGGAUUAGCUAGUUGGUGGGGUAAUGGCCUACCAAGGCGACGAUCCUUAGCUGGUCUGAGAGGAUGAUCAGCCACACUGGGACUGAGACACGGCCCAGACUCCUACGGGAGGCAGCAGUGGGGAAUAUUGGACAAUGGGCGCAAGCCUGAUCCAGCAAUGCCGCGUGAGUGAUGAAGGCCUUAGGGUUGUAAAGCUCUUUUACCCGGGAUGAUAAUGACAGUACCGGGAGAAUAAGCGCCGGCUAACUCCGUG
rnacentral:rRNA from 1 species